AAUAUGCUUGCGCCAGAAAUUAUAGCUUGAGUUCAACAAAAUGGAUUAUAACGUUGCGGAUAUAGUAAUGUGUGACACAAUUUUGUGCAUACAACAUCUAAAGACCUGCACCACGAUAUUGAGAGCUUUUCUGUUUGCAAAAGGAUGUGUUUGGUUGGUUUAUGAGCAUUUGUUCAUGUUUUUGGAUGCCCUGAAACUCCAGAAUGAGGCUAAGGUAGUCAACUGCUGGUGAGCAAAAAAUGACAAGAUACUGCAACUCAUCAUGGCUCCGGUUCCUUCGCCAGCAUUGCGGGCGAGCUCUGAGCAACAGACAACCCACUCCAGCAUGGACGCUGCUACUGCUUCUCAAUGGGUCCCAGCUUACCCUCAAGAUCAUUGGCCUCUGCUGCUUACGAACAGAGAUUGUGGAAGCCUAGAUGAGUUACUGCAGUAAUUGCUAAUCGUGUCAUUACUCUAAGGGUCAAAUAGCUACAUCGCUUCUCUUUUGCUGCAUUGCAAUACUACUAUAUACAGUACCAGUCAAAAGUUUGGACACAUCUACUCAUUCCAGGGUUUUUCUUUAUUUUUACUAUUUUAGUGAAGACAUCAAAACCAGGAUAUAACACAUAUGGAAUCACGUAGCAACCAAAAAAAGUGUUAAACAGAUCAAAAUACAUUCUAGAUUGCCUUGACGACAGCUUUGCACACUCUUGGCAUUCUCUCAACCAGCAUUACUGCUACUGCAAUGAAGCAAUAAGGCCCGAGGGGGGUGUGGUAUAUGUCCAACAAGCCGACACGUGGUUUUCUGAGAAGCUAUCUCGGUAUGGUAUGCCUGCUGUAGCUUACACAUAGUUUAUCCUUCAUGUCACACAUAUGCAGUAUCAAUCAUAUUAUAUAGAUUACGUAGGUGAUCUUAAAGCCCUUAAUGGCGUGCGUCUGCCGUACACAAAGUUCAUUGUCUGUUUUGGGGAUUGGUAUAGCAUACCUUGAUAUCUGCCUGUUAUUAUUAUAACUUACAUGAUGAUCUCACAUGUAUGCUCUUGCAGUGAGCUGCCCUGAAGGAGCAGAGGUGAGUGCCACUGCUAAUGUCGCUGCAUGUAUUGUCAUCUUCUAAUAAAUGGUUUCCUGUCUGAAAUAAAGCGUAAAAGGUU